rnacentral:rRNA from 1 species
GUGAGUAACACGUGAGUAACCUGCCCUUGACUCUGGGAUAAGCGUUGGAAACGACGUCUAAUACCGGAUACGAGCUUCCACCGCAUGGUGAGUUGCUGGAAAGAAUUUUGGUCAAGGAUGGACUCGCGGCCUAUCAGCUUGUUGGUGAGGUAACGGCUCACCAAGGCGACGACGGGUAGCCGGCCUGAGAGGGUGACCGGCCACACUGGGACUGAGACACGGCCCAGACUCCUACGGGAGGCAGCAGUGGGGAAUAUUGCACAAUGGGCGAAAGCCUGAUGCAGCAACGCCGCGUGAGGGACGACGGCCUUCGGGUUGUAAACCUCUUUUAGCAGGGAAGAAGCGAAAGUGACGGUACCUGCAGAAAAAGCACCGGCUAACUACGUGCCAGCAGCCGCGGUAAUACGUAGGGUGCAAGCGUUGUCCGGAAUUAUUGGGCGUAAAGAGCUCGUAGGCGGUUUGUCGCGUCUGCUGUGAAAUCCCGAGGCUCAACCUCGGGUCUGCAGUGGGUACGGGCAGACUAGAGUGCGGUAGGGGAGAUUGGAAUUCCUGGUGUAGCGGUGGAAUGCGCAGAUAUCAGGAGGAACACCGAUGGCGAAGGCAGAUCUCUGGGCCGCUACUGACGCUGAGGAGCGAAAGGGUGGGGAGCAAACAGGCUUAGAUACCCUGGUAGUCCACCCCGUAAACGUUGGGCGCUAGAUGUGGGGACCAUUCCACGGUUUCCGUGUCGUAGCUAACGCA